rnacentral:lncRNA from 1 species
UAAGUUAGGUUAUGAACACAAUUACUACGCAAUUAGAACAUUGCCAAUCCUAAGGUAAAUACAUAUUGCUUUCGAAGAACAACAUGAAUCAGAAAGAAAGAGAAGCAGACUAAAAACUAAUUGUGGACCAACAAUUUGAUACUAAAUAUCAACAUAUUUUAUUCCAUUUCAAAUUCCACAUUUGCAAAUUCACAUUGUUUGAAUCUCACAGAUGUGUACCCAGCAGUAAAAUAAAACAGAAGAAGUAAGGAAUCUGCAAUAGAACAACAGCCAUUAGACAACAGCAAAAUCAAUUUGACCAAUUUGAGUUUGAAAGAAAUGAGAAACUCAACUUCACUCGAGCAAAUGCCAAGGCAACCCUAAAAAUCAAAAUCCUAAAAAACCAAUUUCAUUCCAUUUGAGCAAUGUUCUCCACAAAAACCUUUUUAAGAAGUGAAGAACUUAAGAGAUCACUAGAGUAUUUCAAUGAAACAAUGAUUUUUUCUCUAAUUUCAGCCAUUUCUUUUUCUGUAUCUUUUUAGCUCUAAAAAUCUCC